rnacentral:lncRNA from 1 species
AACACUAGGCUCGUGUUGAAUCUAAACAAAGGUUCAUAGUCAUCCUAAGACCCUAAGGCAACUAUAUAGUCCAUCAAAUGAAUGCAAAGGUUAUGUUAGUAGUAUAAUAUACUCUUGCUUUAAAAACCGUUUUAUAAGCAUAGUGGGAGUAUUAUAUACAACUAAAUUCAAUCAAAUGGACCAAUAGUUGUAAUAGGACCAAAAUUGUUUUAAUAAGAUUAAAAUGAAUAUUUAUAUGUGAUGAGACCUAAAACCCUCAACCAAACCAUUAUUAAGUUGAUAAGCGUGAGAGUGCUUUGAACACUCUUUUGUGGCCUUCCACCAUGGUAGCUCCAAUCGUUUAUGACUUGUACACCGCCUUCACCCUA